AUCGAUUACCUCCAAAAGGCCCUGAAUGUUUCAGAAAGAAAGGAUCUACUGGCAGCUUCUGAAGGCUUCUGUAAUACCUUGUACCCCAAUGAGUACAAUGAAAUCAUUAGGGGUUCUUUCCUCUCCUUUGGAAUGAAACUGCUGCUUAACUUUUCUCCCACUGAUGAGAUGCGGUGAUGCUGUCACAGUUGGGUGGUUGCUCCUCCUGCAGUCUUCUUCCCAUUGCAUGUUCACUCUCUUCCCCACUUGCCCACGAGCAGCAACUCCUGUUUCUUGUUUUUUUCCUUUUCUUUUUCUUUUCUUUUGAGACAGAGUCUCGCUCCGUCGCCUGGGCUAGAGUGCAGUGGUGCAAUCUCAGCUCACUGCAACCUCUGCCUCCUGGGUUCAAGCGAUUCUCAUGCCUCAGACUCCUGAGUAGCUGGUAUUAUAGGCGCACGCCACCAUGCCCACCUAAUUUUUGUGUUUUUAGUAGAGAUGGGGUUUUGCCAUGUUGCUCAGGCUGGUCUCAAACUCCUGACAUCAGGUGAUCCACCUGCAUCGGCUUCCCAAAGUGCUGGGAUUACAUGCAUGAGCCAUCGCGCCUGGCUAGGAACUCCUGUUUCUGUUUUUAUCCUCUUCCCAAGUCUGCAGGCCCCGCCUGGCCCACCCAGUCCUUCUUAGAAGAUGAUGACCUCAACUACUGCUUUUUAAAGAAGACUGACGUCGUGUUAACUGAGUUUCGAUAACGCCCCUCUGUGUAUUUUCUCAUCGUCUUAUUAUGUUUUCCAAAAUAGGACCUGGGGUCGAACUCCUGACCUCAGGUGAUCCGACCACCUCGACCUCGAGAAGUGCUGGCAUUAUGGAUGUGAGCCACUGCCCCUGCCCUAGAUGGUAUCACCUUCAAAGCUUAAUUAGGAAGAAUAAUAUGAGCACUGAGUGUAACUCCAGGUCGGGUAUAUUAUGUCCCUCUGUGUUCUCUAGCUAGUUAUCUAUCCAUCCAUCUCUUGCCUUGUCCACAGAAGUUACAGGUAGGCUGCCGGGCGCAGUGGCUCACGCCUGUAAUCACAGCACUUUGGGAGGCCAAGGCGGGCGGAUCACGAGGUCAGAAGUUGGAGACCAUCCUGGCUAACACAGUGAAACCCCAUAUCUCCUAAAAAUACAAAAAAUUAGCCAGGCAUGGUGGUGGGCACCUGUAGUCCCAGCUACUCGGGAGGCUGAAGCAGGAGAAUAGCGUGAACCCGGGAGGCGGAGCUUGCAGUGAACCGUGAUCGCUUCACUGCACUCCAGCCUGGGCAACAGAGCGAGAAUCCAUCUC
rnacentral:lncRNA from 1 species